rnacentral:rRNA from 1 species
AUUGAACGCUGGCGGCAUGCCUUACACAUGCAAGUCGAACGGCAGCACGGGAGCUUGCUCCUGGUGGCGAGUGGCGAACGGGUGAGUAAUACAUCGGAACGUACCCAGUAGUGGGGGACAACGCACCGAAAGGUUCGCUAAUACCGCAUACGACCUACGGGUGAAAGCGGGGGACCGUAAGGCCUCGCGCUAUUGGAGCGGCCGAUGUCUGAUUAGCUAGUUGGCGGGGUAAUAGCCCACCAAGGCGACGAUCAGUAGCUGGUCUGAGAGGACGAUCAGCCACACUGGGAAUGAGACACGACCCAGACUCCUACGGGAGGCAGCAGUGGGGAAUUUUGGACAAUGGGGGCAACCCUGAUCCAGCAAUGCCGCGUGUGCGAAGAAGGCCUUCGGGUUGUAAAGCACUUUUGUCAGGGAAGAAAUCUUUCAGGCUAAUACCCUUGGAAGGAUGACGGUACCUGAAGAAUAAGCACCGGCUAACUACGUGCCAGCAGCCGCAGUAA